rnacentral:rRNA from 1 species
CACGUAGGCACCAAGCGUUAUCCGGAUUUAUUGGGCGUAAAGAGCUCGUAGGCGGUUCGGUAAGUCGGGUGUGAAAACUCUGGGCUCAACCCAGAGAGGCCACCCGAUACUGCUGUGACUAGAGUGCGGUAGGGGAGCGGGGAAUUCCUGGUGUAGCGGUGAAAUGCGCAGAUAUCAGGAGGAACACCAGCGGCGAAGGCGCCGCUCUGGGCCGUAACUGACGCUGAGGAGCGAAAGCAUGGGUAGCAAACGGG